rnacentral:rRNA from 1 species
UACGUAGGGCGCGAGCGUUGUCCGGAAUCAUUGGGCGUAAAGAGCUCGUAGGCGGCCGGUUGCGUCUGCUGUGAAAUCCCGGGGCUUAACCCCGGGCGUGCAGUGGAUACGGGCUGGCUGGAGGCAGGCAGGGGAGAAUGGAAUUCCCGGUGUAGCGGUGAAAUGCGUAGAUAUUGGGAGGAACACCGGUGGCGAAGGCGGCCCCCUGGACCGGUACUGACGCUGAGGCGCGAAAGCGUGGGUAGCAAACGGG